GGGUGCGAUCGUACAGGCACUAACGCACAUGAUCCCAUCAGAACUUCGAAGUUAAGCGUGUUUGGGCGAGAGUAGUACUAGUAUGGGUGACCCCCUGGGAAGUCCUCGUGUUGCAUCCC